rnacentral:tRNA from 1 species
GCCGAUGUAGCAUAGCUGGUGGUGCGAUACCUUGGUAAGGUAUAGGUCGAGGGUUCGAAUCCCUCCAUCGGCU